rnacentral:rRNA from 1 species
CCUACGGGGGGCAGCAGUGGGGAAUAUUGCACAAUGGGGGAAACCCUGAUGCAGCGACGCCGCGUGAGUGAAGAAGUAUUUCGGUAUGUAAAGCUCUAUCAGCAGGGAAGAAAAAAGACGCUACCUGACUAAGAAGCCCCGGCUAACUACGUGCCAGCAGCCGCGGUAAUACGUAGGGGGCAAGCGUUAUCCGGAUGUACUGGGGGUAAAGGGAGCGUAGACGGCGCGGCAAGUCUGAAGUGGAAGGGAGGGGCUUAACCCCUGAACUGCUUUGGAGACUGGCAUGCUAGAGUGCUGGAGAGGUAAGUGGAAUUCCUAGUGUAGCGGUGAAAUGCGUAGAUAUUAGGAGGAACAUCGGUGGCGAAGGCGGCUUACUGGGCUUUUACUGACGCUGAGGCUCGAAAGCGUGGGGAGCAAACAGGAUUAGAUACCCCAGUAGUC